GUGACACGCCGAGGGGGCUUUAAUGUCCGUCACUCCAAAUCUUUGUUGUGACGAGACAAAGAACCGAGGAACAUACACUCGCGUGACAUCUAGGGUGCCGUGACUCGGAUGUAACCUGGCUGAAACAACCUCCGCGUGGAAGAGGCCAAGCACAGCAGGAGCCCAACUCAGCAAAGCUCCCGCACUAGAAGCAAAAGGUGAAGAGACCCAGCGCAGGGGAACGCCCAUCGUGCUGGAAACCGGGACAGCGGAAAGCCCACGCGGCCCAGUCUCAGAUCCCAGAAGACCUCCGGUUAAGAAACCCUGGACCAAUGGACAAAACCCCGAGAAGGAUUGUCAGAAGAUCCUCUGACCAACCCUGAGGAAAUCUGGUACACUGAUGGAAGCCGCUUUGUCUUGGAUGGAGAAAGAAGAGCCGGGUCAACAAACUACAAAAUGCAGUGCCAUUUCAACAAAGAUAUAAAACUACAGCCGACCACGAAAAAUAUCACACACCCUUAGAUGGGCACCGCUAUAAGGACUCCGAGGCUUGAGAUUAGCAAGAGGGGGAGGCCCAAUACCCCUCGCCAUCCCAGUUCAGCAGAAAGUAGCCAGAAAGACCUCAACACCCCUAUUCCCAAAGAAUUGG